UACGGGGGGGCAAGCGUUGUUCGGAAUUACUGGGCGGUAAAGGGCUCGGUAGGUGGCCAACUAAGUCAGACGUGAAAUCCCUCGGCUUAACCGGGGAACUGCGUCUGAUACUGGAUGGCUUGAGUUCGGGAGAGGGAUGCGGAAUUCCAGGUGUAGCGGUGAAGUGCGUAGAUAUCUGGAGGAACACCGGAUGGCGAGGCAACCCCCUGGGUUAACACUGACGCUCAUGCACGA
rnacentral:rRNA from 1 species